rnacentral:rRNA from 1 species
GUUGUAUGGUUAAGUGACUAAGCGUACACGGUGGAUGCCUUGGCAGUCAGAGGCGAUGAAAGACGUAGUAACUUGCGAUAAGCCCAGAUUAGGUAGUAACAACCAUUUGAGUCUGGGAUUUCUGAAUGGGGAAACCCACGUGCAUAAGCACGUAUCCUUACCUGAAUACAUAGGGUAAGGAGGCGAACCGGGGGAACUGAAACAUCUAAGUACCCCGAGGAAAAGAAAUCAACCGAGAUUCCGAAAGUAGCGGCGAGCGAAAUUGGACUAGCCCUUAAGCUUUACACGCGUUAGACGAACGGUCUGGAAAGUCCGACGAUACAGGGUGAUAGUCCCGUAGUUGACGACGUGUGUUCAGUGAAAUCGAGUAGGGCGGGACACGUGAUAUCCUGUCUGAAUAUGGGGGGACCAUCCUCCAAGGCUAAAUACUACUGACUGACCGAUAGUGAACCAGUACCGUGAGGGAAAGGCGAAAAGAACCCCUGUGAGGGGAGUGAAAUAGAACCUGAAACCGUGUACGUACAAGCAGUAGGAGCAGGCUUGUCCUGUGACUGCGUACCUUUUGUAUAAUGGGUCAGCGACUUAUAUUCAGUGGCAAGGUUAACCAUCUAGGGGAGCCGUAGGGAAACCGAGUCUUAACUGGGCGUUCAGUCUCUGGAUAUAGACCCGAAACCAGGUGAUCUAGCCAUGGGCAGGUUGAAGGUUGAGUAACAUCAACUGGAGGACCGAACCGACUAAUGUUGAAAAAUUAGCGGAUGACUUGUGGCUAGGGGUGAAAGGCCAAUCAAACCUGGAGAUAGCUGGUUCUCCCCGAAAGCUAUUUAGGUAGCGCCUCGGACGAAUACUACUGGGGGUAGAGCACUGUUAAGGCUAGGGGGUCAUCCCGACUUACCAACCCUUUGCAAACUCCGAAUACCAGUAAGUACUAUCCGGGAGACACACGGCGGGUGCUAACGUCCGUCGUGGAGAGGGAAACAACCCAGACCGCCAGCUAAGGUCCCAAAUUACUACUAAGUGGGAAACGAUGUGGGAAGGCUCAGACAGCCAGGAUGUUGGCUUAGAAGCAGCCAUCAUUUAAAGAAAGCGUAAUAGCUCACUGGUCGAGUCGGCCUGCGCGGAAGAUGUAACGGGGCUAAGUAGUAAACCGAAGCUGCGGCAAUACUCUUUGAGUAUUGGGUAGGGGAGCGUUCUGUAAGCGGUUGAAGGUGUGUGGUAACGCAUGCUGGACGUAUCAGAAGUGCGAAUGCUGACAUGAGUAACGAUAAAGGGGGUGAAAAACCUCCUCGCCGGAAGACCAAGGGUUCCUGUCCAACGUUAAUCGGGGCAGGGUAAGUCGACCCCUAAGGCGAGGCCGAAAGGCGUAGUCGAUGGGAAACGGGUUAAUAUUCCCGUACUUCUUACAAUUGCGAUGGGGGGACGGAGAAGGCUAGGUGGGCCUGGCGACGGUUGUCCAGGUUCAAGUGCGUAGGCUUAAGAGUUAGGUAAAUCCGGCUCUUUUUAAGGCUGAGACACGACGUCGAGCACCUACGGGUGUGAAGUCAUUGAUGCCAUGCUUCCAGGAAAAGCCUCUAAGCUUCAGAUUGUAAGGAAUCGUACCCCAAACCGACACAGGUGGUCGGGUAGAGAAUACCAAGGCGCUUGAGAGAACUCGGGUGAAGGAACUAGGCAAAAUGGUACCGUAACUUCGGGAGAAGGUACGCUCUUGAUGGUGAAGUCCCUCGCGGAUGGAGCUGACGAGAGUCGCAGAUACCAGGUGGCUGCAACUGUUUAUUAAAAACACAGCACUGUGCAAAAUCGUAAGAUGACGUAUACGGUGUGACGCCUGCCCGGUGCCGGAAGGUUAAUUGAUGGGGUUAGACUUCGGUCGAAGCUCUUGAUCGAAGCCCCGGUAAACGGCGGCCGUAACUAUAACGGUCCUAAGGUAGCGAAAUUCCUUGUCGGGUAAGUUCCGACCUGCACGAAUGGCGUAAUGAUGGCCACGCUGUCUCCACCCGAGACUCAGUGAAAUUGAAAUCGCUGUGAAGAUGCAGUGUACCCGCGGCUAGACGGAAAGACCCCGUGAACCUUUACUACAGCUUGGCACUGAACAUUGACCCUACAUGUGUAGGAUAGGUGGGAGGCUUUGAAGCACGUACGCCAGUAUGUGUGGAGCCGUCCUUGAAAUACCACCCUUGUAGUGUUGAUGUUCUAACGUCGACCCCUUAUCGGGGUUGCGGACAGUGCCUGGUGGGUAGUUUGACUGGGGCGGUCUCCUCCCAAAGAGUAACGGAGGAGCACGAAGGUGGGCUAAUCACGGUUGGACAUCGUGAGGUUAGUGCAAUGGCAUAAGCCCGCUUGACUGCGAGAAUGACAAUUCGAGCAGGUGCGAAAGCAGGUCAUAGUGAUCCGGUGGUUCUGAAUGGAAGGGCCAUCGCUCAACGGAUAAAAGGUACUCCGGGGAUAACAGGCUGAUACCGCCCAAGAGUUCAUAUCGACGGCGGUGUUUGGCACCUCGAUGUCGGCUCAUCACAUCCUGGGGCUGAAGUCGGUCCCAAGGGUAUGGCUGUUCGCCAUUUAAAGUGGUACGCGAGCUGGGUUUAGAACGUCGUGAGACAGUUCGGUCCCUAUCUGCCGUGGGCGUUGGAAGAUUGAAGGGGGCUGCUCCUAGUACGAGAGGACCGGAGUGGACGAACCUCUGGUGUUCGGGUUGUGUCGCCAGACGCAUUGCCCGGUAGCUAAGUUCGGAAUCGAUAACCGCUGAAAGCAUCUAAGCGGGAAGCGAGCCCUGAGAUGAGUCUUCCCUGAUACUUUAAGUAUCCUAAAGGGUUGUCGGAGACUACGACGUUGAUAGGUCAGGUGUGUAAGUGCUGUGAGGCAUUGAGCUAACUGAUACUAAUUGCCCGUGAGGCUUAACCAUACAACACCCAAGGGGUUU